CCAGCCUGGCUGCCGCCUUGCAGUUUGAUCUCAGACUGCUGUGCUAGUAAUUAGCGAGACUGCGAGGGCGUAGGACCCUCUGAGCCAGGUGCCAGAUAUAAUCUCGUGGUGCGCCGUGUUUUAAGCCGGUCGGAAAAGCGCAGUAUUCGGGUGGGAGUGACCCGAUUUUCCAGGUGCCAUCUGUCACCACUUUCUUUGACUAGGAAAGGGAACUCCCUGACCCCUUGGGCUUCCCGAGAGAGGGAAUGCCUCGCCCUGCUUCGGCUGGCGCACGGUGCGCGCAUUCACUGACCUGCGCCCACUGUCUGGCACUCCCUAGUGAGAUGAACCCGGUACUUCAGAUGGAAAUGCAGAAAUCACCGGUCUUCUGCGUUGCUCACGCUGGGAGCUGUAGACCGGAGCUGUUCCUAUUUGGCCAUCUUGGCUCCUCCCCCUAUUUUAUUAAUGUUUUGUAGUUUUCAGUGUACAGGUUUUUUACCUCCUUGGAUAAAUUUACUUCAAUGUGAAAAUGGACUAAUACAAUGGCGUUGGUUUCUAAUGGUUUAACACUAUCACCCUGAGUGCUGUUCUCCUAACAGUGAAAAUGGAAAAGCCAGUUCUCAAAUUGAU
rnacentral:lncRNA from 1 species